rnacentral:rRNA from 1 species
AGAGUUUGAUCCUGGGUCAGGACGAACGCUGGCGGCAUGCCUAAUACAUGCAAGUCGAACGCCAAAUCUUCCUGCUUGCAGGAAGAGGCGGAGUGGCGAACGGGUGAGUAACACGUGAGGAACUUGCCCAUAAGAGGGGGAUAACACCCGGAAACGGGUGCUAAUACCGCAUAGGUUUUCCCAGUGCAUGCUGGGAAAAUAAAAGGUGGCUCUGCUACCGCUUAUGGAUAGCCUCGCGGCGCAUUAGCUAGUUGGUAAGGUAAAGGCCUACCAAGGCCAUGAUGCGUAGCCGACUUGAGAGGGUGAUCGGCCACACUGGAACUGAGACACGGUCCAGACUCCUACGGGAGGCAGCAGUAGGGAAUCUUCCACAAUGGGUGCAAGCCUGAUGGAGCAAUGCCGCGUGAGUGAAGAAGGACUUCGGUUCGUAAAGCUCUGUUGUUGGGGAAGAACACGGAUAGGAGUCACUGCCUAUCCCUUGACGGUACCCAACCAGAAAGUCACGGCUAACUACGUGCCAGCAGCCGCGGUAAUACGUAGGUGACAAGCGUUGUCCGGAUUUAUUGGGCGUAAAGCGAGCGCAGGCGGUCCGGUAAGUCUGAUGUGAAAGCCCACGGCUCAACCGUGGAACGGCAUUGGAAACUGGCGGACUUGAAUGUAGCAGAGGAAAGUGGAAUUCCAUGUGUAGCGGUGGAAUGCGUAGAUAUAUGGAGGAACACCAGUGGCGAAAGCGACUUUCUGGGCUAUGAUUGACGCUGAGGCUCGAAAGCGUGGGGAGCGAACAGGAUCCCAUACCCUGGUAGU